GACGGAGGAGGCAAGCAUUGUCCGGAAUUAUUGGGCGUAAAGAACACGUAGGCGGUUUAUCAAGUCAUAUGUGAAAACCUUGGGCUUAACUUAAGGAUUGCAUAUGAUACUGGUAAACUAGAGUAUAGGAGAGGAAAGUGGAAUUCCUAGUGUAGCGGUGAAAUGCGUAGAUAUUAGGAGGAAUACCAGUGGCGAAGGCGACUUUCUGGACUUAUACUGACGCUGAGGAACGAAAGCGUGGGGAGCAAACAGGAUUAGAUACCCUGGUAGUCCCU
rnacentral:rRNA from 1 species